AGGUCUACUCUGUUACAAGGACAGAUUAUUAGCAAGCAGUAGAGAGGAGUUAAUGACACAAUAGCACUGAACUGAGACUUUCUCUUUGGGCAUUGUUAGCAGGAUUGAGAAAAACUGAAAAGAUAAUUCUUGCCUUCUGCCAGUGCCUGCCCAGGACCUCCUAAACCAGCUUGUGCAGUGUCAGAGAGGGGAAAACAUCCCCCACACUGGAGGAGAUGAAUAUCAAAUGGAUCAAUGUGUUGCCAAUUUUUUUGCAAAGGUGGAUUUUUCAGAGGGGUGGGGUAUCCUCCCCGGGGUGCUGCCCCCAGGUGGGCAUUGUUCUGAGUCACUGCACUUGAGGAAUGGGGUUUCUGGGAAAUGCCUUCUGUUUCUUCCAUUCUCACUGUUUACCUGGUUAUGCUUGGCAUCCUGGGCUGAUGAUCAAUAAAGGAUUAGAUGUAAAAACAAACCAAACCUGCUUGCCCUUAAAUAAUGUUAUUUCAAGGGAAAGGUCUCAACCCUGAAAUAAACCAGGUUUCAAGCAAGAAUUUGAAUUCACUUUGACAACAUAAUCCAGAGUGCAGGAUUUGCCUUCAGGCUAUGGGUUUUUUCUGUCAAUUCCACUAAGGACAGAAGGAGAACUGAGGAGAGGAAGGAUCUUUAUUUUCAGGCCAGUGAAAGCUUAUUAUUAUUUUUGUUGUAGUUACUAUUAAUAGAUUAUUUGCUGAGCUUCUUUGAACAGAAAAUAGAAAUGAGAACUCAACUCUUUCUUCCUCCCUCUGUCCUUUCUCCUCUUUCUUCUUUAUUUUCUUAUUCUCUCUCCCCUCCCUUCCAAAUGUCUGGAGAUCUACAAUGUUUCAGGACAGUGUUUCCAGCUUUGGUUCCUUUGAACACCAGCUUCUCCAUUUCUCUAUCCAAUCAGAUGCAGAUUUUGAAAAAUGGAAUUCCCUUUUAAUUUUGAAAAAUUGAAUUCCCUUUUUUUUUUCCUCUCUUUUGAGACAGGGUCCCACUCCAAUGUCCAGGCUGGAGUGCAGUGGUGCCAUCACAGCUCACUGUAGCCUCGACCUCCUCCUGGGCUCAAGUGAUCCUCCCACCUCAGCCUCCCGAGUAGCUGGGACUACAGAUGCAUGCCACAUGCCUGGCUAAUUUUUGCAUUUUUUUGUAGAGACGGGGUUUCCCUAUGUUACCCAGACUGGUCUCGAACUCCUGGGCUCAAGCGAUUGGCCUGUGUCAACCUCCCAAAAUGCUAGGAUGAUGGGAGUGAGCCACUGCGCCCAGGCUUCCCUUCCUUUUCUUAUAUAUAAAUUUGGGCUGACCGUAAAACAAUGAGAUUUGAUCAUCUGGUUGUAAAGCCCCUACAAAUAUACAAUAGGAGAUGUAGGUCAGUACAAACUGGGCAGCAGGCAGUUCCUAAAGCCACCUUGUUGACCAUGCCUGGUGGAACCCGUGAGGCUUGCCAGGGAGGGGCUGCAGAGGUCUUCCAUUACCGUGGGCUGAAUGACCACACAGUGAGAUCCCCACUUCCUUCAGAUCAGUGUUGCUCAAGUUUUAGCCCCAAGAGAGCUUAAGAGAUUCCUGGGCUGCGUCCCCAGAGAUCCUGACUCAGUGGUUCAGGGUGGCUCCUGGGAAUCUGCCAUAUCAACCAGC
rnacentral:lncRNA from 10 species